GACGAACGCUGGCGGCGUGCUUAACACAUGCAAGUCGAGCGGUAAGGCCUUUCGGGGUACCCGAGCGGCGAACGGGUGAGUAACACGUGGGUGAUCUGCCCUGCACUUCGGGAUAAGCCUGGGAAACUGGGUCUAAUACCGGAUAUGACCUCCUAUCGCAUGGUGGGUGGUGGAAAGAUUUAUCGGUGCAGGAUGGGCCCGCGGCCUAUCAGCUUGUUGGUGGGGUAAUGGCCUACCAAGGCGACGACGGGUAGCCGACCUGAGAGGGUGACCGGCCACACUGGGACUGAGACACGGCCCAGACUCCUACGGGAGGCAGCAGUGGGGAAUAUUGCACAAUGGGCGAAAGCCUGAUGCAGCAACGCCGCGUGAGGGAUGACGGCCUUCGGGUUGUAAACCUCUUUCAGCAGGGACGAAGCGCAAGUGACGGUACCUGCAGAAGAAGCACCGGCUAACUACGUG
rnacentral:rRNA from 1 species